rnacentral:lncRNA from 1 species
UGUAUAAUGUGUCCUUUUGGAUUUUAUGCAUAUGGGUAUUAAUAUUAUGUAUGACAUAUUAUUGUUUCAUUCAAAGUAUGUUUAUCUUUUGUUUUUCAAUAGUUGAAAAAUGUUAGUCAAAAGUUGAGAAAGAUAUGUAUGCAAAAGAUGUUUUGUAUGCAUGAAUGAAAAAUGAGUUUAGAACUAGUUUGACAUAUUAUUUCUUCAUUUAAAAGUAUGUUUAUCUUUUGUUUUUCAAUGGUUGAAAAAUAUAAAUCAAGAGUUGAAAAAGAUAUGCAUGUAAAAAUGUUUUGUAUGCAUGAAUGAAGAAUAAGUCAUGAACAAAAUUUGGGGUUUUGUUCUUUGUGGUUGGCACGGUUUUUGGGGGUUUUUUGAGCAUGUGUUUGUGUUUUAUUGUAAGACACUCACACAUCAUUUUAAAGCUAGAAAGUAGAAACCUUGUCACUUUUGUCUUUUGGGUUUGAAAAUCACCAAGAAUACACAAAUCUUGAAAAAUGUGUUCAUGGUUUUGUUCUUGGUGUUCAUAGUUUGGUUUUGGGUGAAAAUGGUUUUAUUUGGUUUUCAUGCAUGGUUUUAUGGUUUUGGAUGAUGUUCUUACCAUCCAUAACUAUAUUAAAACUUAUAAAACCCUAGACUUGUCUAGGAGAUUUCCAUCACCUUUCUCAUUAAAGCCUUUUAAUGCCAAAACCAAGUGACAUGCAAAAUUUGGAUUUUUUCUACUUUGCAUUGAAUUAAAGCAUGUGGGUGAGACUUCCCACCCCCCCCCCCAUUAAUUGGCCGGCCACCCUAGUGGAUUUAUCCACUUGGGGGGCUUUUUUGUAAUUUGAAAAAGAUAUUUUAUACUUUUGAGUAUUUACGGUUUGACCCCUAACUUUUUCAUAUUUGCAUUUAAGCCCCUACUAACUAGAAAGUUUAAAAUAUUUUGAUUUUAAUUUUGUUAGUUGUUUAAACUCAUAAUACUAUUAUGCCCAUAUGCACUAAAUCUAAAUGUUUAUGUUGCAUUCCAUUUAAUUAUUUAAAUGUGUUUAAAUAGUUAUAAAAUGGGUGACUAUGGACUUAUGCCUUAAACGAUAAUUGAGCUAUGAGAUAAGGCGCUAAAAUCAAA